UUAAUAUUUGAAUGUUACGUCUAUUAGACAUCUGAUUUACAUAGCAUAGACGUCGUUCUUAAUUGUACGAUUUUAUACGUUCCUUCAUAUUUCCUUUUAUUGAUCACAGCUUUAGUUACACUGAUUAUGCAUGCGUCUUCACAUAUGAGAAAAGUAUAAUAACUAACCCCAAGUAUUUUCCACUCAGAAUGAAAGAACACAACAUGCUGUUGAAUGAUUUCCUCUGCUUCAGUUGGCGACGGAAGCACGGGAUUCUUCAUAGCUGCUCCUGCAUGUUAAAAGUCUACUUCGAAAACUGGGCUGGUCAGAUUCAAGGAAUCGACUCUUUUGGAGUCGACUCCUCAUCAGUACUGCGCAUGUGC